UACAGAGGGUGCGAGCGUUGUCCGGAAUCACUGGGCGUAAAGGGCGCGUAGGUGGCUAGCUAAGCGUGUGGUGAAAGCCCGGGGCUCAACCCCGGGUCUGCCGUGCGGACUGGCUGGCUUGAGCAUAGUAGAGGCGAGUGGAAUUCCGGGUGUAGCGGUGGAAUGCGUAGAUAUCCGGAAGAACACCGGUGGCGAAGGCGGCUCGCUGGGCUAUUGCUGACACUGAUGCGCGACAGCGUGGGGAGCAAACAGG
rnacentral:rRNA from 1 species